AGCUCCAAUAGCGUAUAUUAAAGUUGUUGCGGUUAAAAAGCUCGUAGUUGGAUUUCUGUCGAAAACGGCCGGUCCGCACUAUGUGCGUGUAUCUGGUUCGGUUUUGGCAUCCUCGUGGGGAACGGAGCUGCGCUUGAUUGCGUGGGCCGGAAUUCACGACUUUUACUUUGAGGAAAUUAGAGUGUUCACGGCAGGCAUGCGCCUUGAAUACAUUAGCAUGGAAUAAUAAUAUAGGAUCCCGGUUCUAUUUUGUUGGUUUCUAGAGCUGAGAUAAUGAUUAAUAGGGAUAAUUGGGGGCAUUUGUAUUAACGCGUCAGAGGUGGAAUUCUUGGAUUGCGUUACGACAAACUACUGCGAAAGCAUUUGCCAAGGAUGUUUUCA
rnacentral:rRNA from 1 species